UACAGAGGUCCCAAGCGUUGUUCGGAUUCACUGGGCGUAAAGGGUGCGCAGGUGGUCGGGUAAGUCUGAUGUGAAAUCCCGCAGCUCAACUGCGGAAUGGCAUUGGAUACUAUUUGGCUAGAGGGUUGGAGGGGGGACUGGAAUUCUCGGUGUAGCAGUGAAAUGCGUAGAUAUCGAGAGGAACACCAGUGGCGAAGGCGAGUCCCUGGACAACUCCUGACGCUGAGGCACGAAAGCUAGGGGAGCAAACAGG
rnacentral:rRNA from 1 species